CAACUCGCCUGCAUGAAGUCGGAAUUGCUAGUAAUCGCAGAUCAGCAUGCUGCGGUGAAUACGUUCCCGGGCCUUGUACACACCGCCCGUCACACCAUGGGAGUCGGUAACACCCAAAGUUGGUAGCCUAACCGCAAGGGAGGGCGCCGCCUAAGGUGGGAUUGAUGACUGGGGUGAAGUCGUAACAAGGUAGC
rnacentral:rRNA from 1 species